rnacentral:misc_RNA from 1 species
GUAGGUGAACCUGCGGAAGGAUCAUUAACGAAUUGGUUAGCGGACUGUGCUGGCUUCGGCAUGUGCACGUCUGCGAAUUCAUCCAAUACACCUGUGCACCUUUGACUCUGAGUUCCGCAAGGGACGAGGAGUAUUAAACUACACUCUUUACAAGUAUGUGAUAUAGAAACAUGGCGCUCAGCGUCGAGUUACAAACAACUUUCAACAACGGAUCUCUUGGCUCUCGCAUCGAUGAAGAACGCAGCAUCUG